AGUUGUUCACCUCACAAGUAGGGUUACGAAAACAUUGAGUUGAUAUACCAAACACACGAGCUAGGGUUACGAAUCUGGUUGCGAAAAAAUCAAACUCGCUUGUGCAUUCAGCAGUUCUAAACUUCAUCUUCUUCUUCUAUUUCUUAGAUAUGAGUGUUGACAAAGAAGUUGAUGUUUCUGAUGCUUCCUUUUCUAUUUCCAUGGCCGAAAAUCAGCUUUUUCUUAUCAAGAUCCUCUCCUUUGCAAGUGGAUAUUGAAGAGCACUUGGAAGAUUUAGAGAAGGUAGAACAAGAAAUGGCUCCGAUCCCACAACUCAAUGAAGGGCUUUCCGAUAUUGAAUCUGACUAGCUUUCGACUUUCGUCACAAAAUUAGAUGUUAUGGAAGCAUUGGAAGAAAAUGGAAGGAUUGAAAGCAUGCAUUAUUUGAUAUUAGUAUAUUAUUAUUAAGAAACAGGCAGUAUUUGUGUUACAAUUUAUAUAUUAUGAGACAUUUUUUAUUUGGUGUUUGUUAAAUGUAUGAUUUUAUAAUGAGACUUGUUAGACAUUUGAUGUAGUGUGUUUGUUUUGUGUAUCAUUUGGUGUCCAUCAAGUAUCCUGAAACAGUGAAGCAGCAUCGUGUAACAUAGGGUCUUGUAUGAAAGACUUGUUAUUUGGUAAUGUUAAAUGUUGGUAUUUGUUUA